UGGGGAAUCUUGGACAAUGGGCGCAAGCCUGAUCCAGCGACGCCGCGUGGGUGAUGAAGGUCUUCGGAUCGUAAAGCCCUUUUCUGCGUGACGAGACAGGACGGUAGCGCAGGAAUAAGUCUCGGCUAACUACGUGCCAGCAGCCGCGGUAAAACGUAGGAGACGAACGUUAUCCGGAGUUACUGGGCGUAAAGGGCGUGUAGGCGGUUUGUUAAGUCUGGCGUGAAAGCUCUCGGCUAAACCGGGAGAGGUCGUUGGAUACUGGCGAACUAGAGGAUGGUAGAGGCGUGUGGAAUUCCGGGUGUAGUGGUGAAAUGCGUAGAGAUCCGGAGGAACACCAGUGGCGAAGGCGACACGCUGGGCCAUACCUGACGCUAAAGCGCGACAGCAUGGGGAGCAAACGGGAUUAGAUACCCACGUAGUCCCUGAGCGGGCUGGCAAGGCGCAU
rnacentral:rRNA from 1 species